GGGGAGGACCAUAGCUCAGUGUCAGAGAAUAUGCUUAGCAUGCAGAAGGUCCUAGGUUUAAUCCCUGUCUUCUCCA